rnacentral:rRNA from 1 species
GAUGAACGCUGGCGGCGUGCCUAAUACAUGCAAGUCGAGCGAACAGACGAGGAGCUUGCUCCUCUGAUGUUAGCGGCGGACGGGUGAGUAACACGUGGAUAACCUACCUAUAAGACUGGGAUAACUUCGGGAAACCGGAGCUAAUACCGGAUAACAUGUUGAACCGCAUGGUUCAACAGUGAAAGACGGUCUUGCUGUCACUUAUAGAUGAUCCGCGCCGCAUUAGCUAGUUUGUAAGGUAACGGCUUACCAAGGCAACGAUGCGUAGCCGACCUGAGAGGGUGAUCGGCCACACUGGAACUGAGACACGGUCCAGACUCCUACGGGAGGCAGCAGUAGGGAAUCUUCCGCAAUGGGCGAAAGCCUGACGGAGCAACGCCGCGUGAGUGAAGAAGGUCUUCGGAUCGUAAAACUCUGUUAUUAGGGAAGAACAAAUGUGUAAGUAACUAUGCACGUCUUGACGGUACCUAAUCAGAAAGCCACGGCUAACUACGUG